GUCGUCUCUUCAAAAGCUUUAUUUCAUACUUAUUUCAUUUAUUCUUUAUGCAUUUACUCUCAUAUUAAUUCUAUCAUUAGUCUCACAAUCUUACUUCAGCAUAGAGUGUCAAGUAGGGGAGUCUCACUUGGUCCUCUAACCCUUAUUUUUUUUGCAGAUGCCUCAUCUUGACCCUUUGAAACUUUACCACAUACACACAAACCCUUUUUUUCUCUUUUGGAAGAAAAAGUAUGAGCUUACUGAUCAAACCCUUUUCUUUUUCUCUCAAUUUCCU
rnacentral:misc_RNA from 1 species